AUUGAACGCUGGCGGCAUGCUCUACACAUGCAAGUCGAACGGUAACAGGCCGCAUGGUGCUGACGAGUGGCGAACGGGUGAGUAAUGCAUCGGAACGUGCCCAGUCGUGGGGGAUAACUACUCGAAAGAGUAGCUAAUACCGCAUACGAUCUAUGGAUGAAAGCGGGGGACCGUAAGGCCUCGCGCGAUUGGAGCGGCCGAUGUCAGAUUAGGUAGUUGGUGGGGUAAAGGCUCACCAAGCCAACGAUCUGUAGCUGGUCUGAGAGGACGACCAGCCACACUGGGACUGAGACACGGCCCAGACUCCUACGGGAGGCAGCAGUGGGGAAUUUUGGACAAUGGGCGCAAGCCUGAUCCAGCAAUGCCGCGUGCAGGAAGAAGGCCUUCGGGUUGUAAACUGCUUUUGUACGGAACGAAACGGCUCUGGUUAAUACCCGGGGCUAAUGACGGUACCGUAAGAAUAAGCACCGGCUAACUACGUG
rnacentral:rRNA from 1 species